rnacentral:lncRNA from 1 species
AUGGAAGUUUUUGAGAUGCCGGAAAGAUAUUUGUGGGAUUCUCUUUUCACUUAAAAGCAAAUAUGGCGGUUCCACUCUUGGUUAUUGAUAAAGUUCAGCGAUCUUUUCUUUGGGAUCAUGAAAUUGGAAAAUGUAGAAUUCAUUUGAUUUCUUUGGCUGAUUUUUGUAGACCAAAAAUAGAGGAUGAUUCGGGUCCAGUUGAUUCGCGAGUUCAUUGUCGUUCUCUUCUUCUCAAAGAAGCAGCAUCUUUGAUACUUGGUUCAUAUUCACUUUGGGUUCAAAUUAUUAUGGUAA